UACGUAGGGUGCGAGCGUUGUCCGGAAUUAUUGGGCGUAAAGGGCUCGUAGGCGGUCUGUCGCGUCGAAAGUGAAAACUCAGGGCUUAACCCUGAGCCUGCUUCCGAUACGGGCAGACUAGAGGUAUGCAGGGGAGAACGGAAUUCCUGGUGUAGCGGUGAAAUGCGCAGAUAUCAGGAGGAACACCGGUGGCGAAGGCGGUUCUCUGGGCAUUACCUGACGCUGAGGAGCGAAAAGUGUGGGGAGCGAACAGG
rnacentral:rRNA from 1 species